AAAAUGUAUAAAAAGCCGUUAUAAUGUAUUUUUCUAAGAUGUGAUGUAGUUCAACAAAGUAAGGCAGUGCAUUUUAUUCACUUGUGUUGUUUCCUCCCUAAUAAUGUGUUUAUCAAAAGUUAAUUGAGUGGCACAGCGGGAUGCCGUGGUCAGCGCUCGCUCCUUGCUGCAAACUAUUUCCACGUGAUCUAUAUAGGUCAACUUAUCAAGAUUUUGAAAAACCGGGCAGCAUUCUUGAAAGACAAAGAACAGGAUUAAGGUAAUAUUUUACAUCAUCGUAUGCGGCUGUUUGCAAAGACAAAAUAUACCUUUUUAAAGAUCACAUGUAGUGAGAGGAAUUUGACAUAAUAAGGUUUGCUUAGGCACACCAUGCUGGAGGGAUUUACCAGGGUAUUUAUUCUUUAAGAAGAAUUAAAACAAAGAAGUCCAAGUGAUCCAAAUGCCAAAAGUGCCAAACAUGAUUUUCAAAGGAAGAAGGAUAUUGUGAUU